AACGAACGCUGGCGGCGCGUUUUAAGCAUGCAAGUCGAACGGUAGGCGGGGGCAACUCCGCUGAGAGUGGCGCACGGGUGAGUAACACGUAGGUGAUCUACCCUGGGAUUGGGGAUAGCCCAUGGAAACAUGGGGUAAUACCGAAUGAGCUCUUUUGGUCAUGGCCGAAAGAGGAAAGGCGCGGGUGCGCCGACCUGGGAUGAGCCUGCGGCCUAUUAGCUAGUUGGCGGGGUAAAGGCCCACCAAGGCUACGACGGAUACCUGGUCUGAGAGGACGAUCAGGCACACUGGAACUGAGACACGGUCCAGACACCUACGGGUGGCAGCAGUCGAGAAUAAUUCGCAAUGGGGGCAACCCUGAUGGUGCAACGCCGCGUGGAGGAUGAAGGUCUUCGGAUUGUAAACUCCUGUCAUCCGGGAGCAAGACCUGACGGUUAACAGCCGGCAGGGUUGAUAGUACCGGAAGAGGAAGGGACGGCUAACUUCGUGCCAGCCGCCGCCGUAA
rnacentral:rRNA from 1 species